UUGCACUUCUCUCUCUUUCAGCCAUGUGAAGAGGGCCUUUGCUUCCCCUUCCUUUUCUGCCCUGAUUGUAAGUUUCCUGAGGCCUCCCAAGUCAUGCAAAACUAUGAGCACAUCGAGGCAUAGAGAGGAUGAACAACUUGCUGGUGCUCCCAGUAGCAGAGGAUCAACCCAGGAAGUGUGACUUCAAACCUCUGCCCUAAAUCCUGGUCGGCUACUCUUUCAGGGGUCCCAUGCCGAGUUCUUCAGAAGGAAGCAGACACCAGAGAUGGAGUUCGGGAUGCAAGAUGUUUCAGAGGGAUUGACCCCCGUGUGUAGGGAAGAGAGUAGAAACAUUGUACAGAGGAAGAAGUGCAAUUGACGUGGGUGGCUUGGGAGUGAGAAUCAUUCAUCAGAGUGUCCCACCGUGAGCCAAAAUGGCCAGAUGUUUACAGGCACCUUACUUAGUGCUAAGAUGGAGGCUGCCCCAGGAAGGGUGAGACCCUUGUCAAGGCAGCUCUUCUCUGCAGCCGACCACCUUCUCUGCAGCUGGGCAGUGAGUCCGUCCUUGCUGAAGGUGCCAUAAUGGGAAGCUGAAUGCAGAGCUGUCAAUCAUAGAGGAACAUUUGGAAACGCAGCAGCCACAUAAAAGCGUUCCCUGACUUACCCCCUCUGCUCGACGAAGGAGGGAAGGAAGCGCAAAGAAAUCGUCUUGCAAGCAGUUUGGUGGCAUCGAGAGGAACACAGCGGACUGAGUCAUCAGAUGUAUAGGGUGCCCCCUCACAGACCCCAUAGAGCGCCUUCCUGUCCCCAAAACUGAGCCUCAGGAAAGCAUCCUUGCUGCAGAGGUGCUGCAGGUUCUCCUGCCUCAUGACCUUGGGGUUUCAACAGUAAGGCCAUGCCAUGAAGACAUAGUCUAUUCACUUCUAGAUGCUAUAUGCAAUUCUGGGCUCCUUGCAAAAGAAUCCACAGAGCCUGACAGGUGAGGCGGGGGCUGGGGAAGUGUAGGAUGGACAUUUGAGAAUACAAGAUAGUUUGUCAUAUGCAGACGGUACAGGGCUUUGGGGGGACUGGGAGAUGGUGGAACCCUGAUGGUUUUUCUGUCCUUGCUCUUUAGCCACGUUAGGGGGCCAGUCUCGAGACGGUCUCAUAAAUUCUCAAAAUAAGCUCAGUUUGAUGGGCUACAAUUUAUUCAAAAAUAAGACCUCUGGCCUAAAAUACUAGCAUUCAAAAAUGGAGCGGUAAGUGAGGGCACAGCACUGCCAUUGAGCAAGGUUGCAGGGACUGACUUCUGUGUGGCUGGCCAGUGCUGGUGGUUUCUGCCCCCACUAAGAGCAAGACUUAGAAUUAAGGGAUUUCAGAGCUGG
rnacentral:lncRNA from 13 species